rnacentral:rRNA from 1 species
UACGUAGGGGGCAAGCGUUGUCCGGAUUUAUUGGGCGUAAAGAGUGUGUAGGCGGCUUUACAGGUCCGUUGUGAAAACUCGAGGCUCAACCUCGAGACGCCGGUGGAAACCGUAAAGCUAGAGUCCGGAAGAGGAGAGUGGAAUUCCUGGUGUAGCGGUGAAAUGCGCAGAUAUCAGGAAGAACACCCGUGGCGAAGGCGGCUCUCUGGGACGGUACUGACGCUGAGACGCGAAAGCGUGGGGAGCGAACAGG